GAUGAACGCUGGCGGCGUGCCUAAUACAUGCAAGUAGAGCGAAGGGACGAGAGGCUGGCGUCGCUGAUGUUAGCGGCGGACGAGUGAGUAACACGAGGAUAAUCCACUGAUGAGGCUGGGAUAACUUCGAGAAACGGGAGCUAAUACCGUAUGAGUUUUUGUACCGCAUGGUUCAAAAGUAAAAGAAGGCUUUGCCGGCACAUAUCGAUCGGUCCGCGUUGCAGAAGCUAGUUGGUAAGGUAGCGGCUUACCAAGGCAACGAUGCAUAGACGACCUGAGAGGGGGAUCGGCCACACUGGAACUGAGACACGGGCCAGAGUCCUAGGAGAGGAGGCCGUAGGGAAUCUUCCACGAUGGGCGAAGGCCUGACGGGACAACGCCGCGGGAGUGAUGAAGGUCUUCGGAUCGUAAUACUCUGUUAUUAGGAAAGAACGUUUGUCGAAGUAACUCUGCACAGCGUGACGGUACCUAAUCAGAAAGCCACGGCUAACUACGUG
rnacentral:rRNA from 1 species